GACGAACGCUGGCGGCGUGCCUAAUACAUGCAAGUCGAACGAGUGGUGGACGGGUGAGUAAUGUCUGGGAAACUGCCCGAUGGAGGGGGAUAACUACUGGAAACGGUAGCUAAUACCGCAUACCAUCGGAUGUGCCCAGAUGGGAUUAGCUAGUAGGUGGGGUAAUGGCUCAACUAGGCGACGAUCCCUAGCUGGUCUGAGGGGUUGACCAGCCACACUGGAACGUAGACACGGUCCAUACUCCGACGGGAGGCAGCAGUGGUGAAUAUUGCACAAUGGGCGCAAGCCUGAUGCAGCCAUGCCGCUUGUAUGAAGAAGGCCUUCGGGUUGUAAAGUACUUUCAGCGAGGAGGCGUUACUCGCAGAAGAAGCACCGGCUAACUCCGUGCCAGCAGCCGCGGUAAUAC
rnacentral:rRNA from 1 species